rnacentral:lncRNA from 1 species
ACACAUAAUGAUUUGGAGUUCCAUUUCUUAGAAAAAAUGAAGAUUGACCCCGAUUCUUUAAGUGCUGGGAGUAUUACCAUAAUAAAUGGUAUCACUGCAUGAUAAGAGCAAAUGUGUGAUUUUAGUCAACAUAUUUUCUACAUGACUAAUGAGAGACUUGCAGCUUGGAUACACAGCAGUGUCUAGAGUCAGUGGCUAAGCCGUGGUAGGUCUCUAUGAAGUGGGGAAAUAUUUCUGACCAACCCCAGGGAGAUGUUUGCAGUGUGGAGUGGAAGCUGCCCUGCUGUGGUUUAGCACUGCAAAAACUCUCCCUUACAUAUGCAAUUUGCAUAUUCCUUUAUAUACUGAAAGGCCACCUGAACAUAGGUGGUCAAAAGACCUUUUUUCUACCUUCCUUCUUCUGUUCUUUCCAUUGGAUCUUUGAUUCUGAGAAGUCUGCCCCAUAGAAAGGAGGAGGCUUAACUCUAGGAAUGCUUCCUGUUCUCCUUCUCUUUCGUCUUUCUUCUCACUCCCAGCCCUGAAGGCAUCACAGAGGCAUCAGUGAUGCUUUUUUUUCCUCCUCCACUCCAGUCUGCUCCGCAGAACCCCAUGUCCUCAGAUAAAAUGCCACCAAAAAGUCUGAAGGUGCUUUGCAAUGGAAAUGGAUUAUUGAAGACACAAAGACCCGUAGUAAAUUUUACAGUUUAUACUUCUGUGAUGUUGUUAUUCUUAAAAUUGACAAGAAAAAUCAGGAAAUUUACAUAACUCCUGUGAGUUUCUAGGACAAAUGAGUUUAUGACUAUAAAACACCUUGUAAUCUAAUCUACAGAACUGUAGGUAAAUAUAAUUGGGCACUAUGAUUGUUGUUGUCAUCGUCUUUCUUGUGAAGAGUGAUAAUCCUGAGAAAAUCAAAAGCUAGCUCUGUGCCAAGUUCAAGUUGAAAGAGCAAGAGAAAGCCAGCUGGGCGGCUGCAGUUCACUUUAUGGUGGGCCCCAGGAAGCUGAGGCAUCCAGUCACCCAGCUGCUGAUCGGCUGAGUUAGGAAUCAGACUCCUAGCUUUUGUUCCAGAAUCAAGACAUGCCCCUUGAGGCUCAGCCAUAAGAGCUUCACUUUGACCCUCAGAGCCCUGCUCUUUGCCUGGAUGGUUCACCUUUGUGGACACUGUCCCAGCCAGCCAGCCUCUUCCCAUUGUUCCUUCCCUAGCCCCUGCCCUGCCCUGAUUGGUGAAGUUGCUGCCAGGGACCAGGAGGCCACCCUCCCAAUUGUUUAUUAUAAACAGGGGGAGAAAAGUGGGGAAGGAAAAGUGCCAGAGGAGAAUCUCAUAUCUAGCUGCCCAAGCCAAUCCACUGAACACCCAUUACAUAUGCUGGCUAAGCGUCCAUUGAUCUUUCCCAUUAGAACAAUGAUAGUCUCCAAGUAUAUAUGGGUUACAGGUUUUGGAACACAGUGAAAGUGGAUAAUGGUUUUUAUGGGAAAAUGCAUUCUGAGAUGGAAAUCACCAACUUAGUAACAAACAUUUAGGACUUAAUGCUGUCCACAAAUUGAGGACUACCUUUCAUUUAUGCAGCAGUUACAAUUCCAUAGCCAGAAGUGCUGACAUUCCAUUAAAGAAGAGCAAGAAGCGAUGGGGAAAACACCCUGAAAACUACAAUAAUCUUUGAUGCCAAGAGAGAGGAGCAGCAAACAUUAUAAGAAUAACAUACAGCAAACUUUGCCAAAUAAUGGGGAGUUCCUCACACAUGAAGCUUGCUUCCUGAGAAACAACAGAUCCACUUAAAGACUACUCUUAGGAAUAUUUUCUUUGGCUUUGUCAAACAUUUUGGACUUUUCUGCAACCAUGUCCCAAUAAAUGUACCUCAUUAAAAAUAUAAAACUAGCUGGGCACAGUGGCUCAUGCCUGUAAUCCCAGCACUUUGGGAUGCUGAAGUGAGAGGAUCCCAUGAUCCCAGGAGUUUAAGACCAGCCUGGGCAACAUACAGAAAGCCAGUCUCUACCAGAAAAACAAAACAAAACAAAAAAACAGCGAGGCAUGUUGGCACAUGGCAAAUGCCUAUGGUUCCAGCUACUCAGGAGGAAAAAAAUUUUUUUUGAAGUAUGUAUUCAAAUGAUAUGUAUUGCUUUAUUAUUGUUAUAUAGUGAUACAUAAUCAGUGAAGAAAUAAUUAAAACAAUAAAAUGAUUAAGAAGAAAAUAUAGGCCAGGUGCAGUGGCUCAUGUGUGCAAUCCAAGCACAUUGGAAGGCCGAGACGGGAAGUUCAGUUGAGCAUCAGAGUUUGAGACCAGCCUGGGCAACAAAGUGAGACGCUGUCUCAAAAAGAAAAAAAAAGAAGAAAAUGAAAGAAAAAGAAAAAAAAAAGAAAAAUUAGCCAGGCACGGUAUGGUGGCACACACUUGUAGACUCAUAGUUCUCCCAACUACUGGGAAGGCUGAGGUGGGAGGUUGACUUGAGCCCGGGAGUUUGAGGAUGCAGUGAGCUAUGGUCGUGCUACUGCACUCCCGCCUGGGUGACAGAGUGAGAAUCACUCUCCAAGAGGAAAAAAAAAAAAAAGACAAGAGAAGAAAAGGAAAUAUGACCUAAAUACAUUUAAUGACCUCUUUUAACCUUUUAGAGAUCAUGCGUAAACACACCACACAUAUAUUUUAAUGAAAUAUUCAGUCAUAUUGAAAUAUGGUAGUAUAGUCUGCUUUUUAACUUAAAUAUAGUACAGAUCUCUUUCCAUGUCGUGUAUAGUAUAACAAUUAAGGUGAAUAUGUUUAGUAUUUCAUUUUAUGGCUGACUAUAUUUUAUUUCACUAAUCCACAUUUGACAAUCAGAUGAUUGUAAUAUUUUCACAACUUUAUAUUCUCAUAAUUCAGUUGUUGUACUAAGGCAUAUUUAUCUUUUUUGUAUAUGAAAUUUAUCAGAUACUUCAAUUGUUUUAAGCAAGCUUUAUGAGAUUACUUUUCUAGGUCUACUGGUGUCUGUGGUUUCUAAGAUCACGUUGCCUGUAUUUCUAGACAAAUCAGAUAAUGUGAUUUCAGAACACCUGAUUAUUUCAGUCAAUUGAAAGAAACAACUGGUCAACCCAGUGCAUAAUAUUAUCUUUUUUUUCCCCUCAUAAGUAAGAGACACAUAAAAUUCUUAGGCUAGUUUACAGUCUCAUACUAGUUUAUAUGAGACAGAAAGUGCCGACUGACGGAAGACCCAAGCUGACAGCAAGCUUUCGUUUCUCAGAUGCCUUAUGAAAAGAACCCCUUAUGUUAAUUUUCUCAGUUAAGUCCUACAGUUCUCCGUUAAUUUCUCAAUGAAAUCCAGAGGACUAAGUUAACUGACCCUUUAGCUACCCCCGGUAAUGAAUCGUUAGCUACAAUGUUAAUAGAGACAGAAGGAAAUAUGGUAUUGCCUAUAGUACAGGAGAAAUAAAAAUUUGGUGAAUGCCAUUGAAAACAAAAUUGUAUUUCAGGAC